rnacentral:lncRNA from 1 species
UUGUCCUUCACGAGUUCUUACGGCAGUCUUUGCUCCUUCAUACCUACUGUUUGAGUUUAUAAUAUCUAUAUUUUUGGGUGUGUUUCAUUUGGUCUCGGUCUGUAGCUUGGGUUUGGUCUUGCUGUACUUCUUGUCAUUGUUCUCAGGCAUUAGGUUUUGACUUAUUUUUCGCUUAUGCGCUGAAGCUCAUGACCUCAUUUGGUGACGCACCCCACCGUCCAAUUAAGCAAUUUGGUAAUGCAAAAGUCUAACUUUAACCACUAUUUUUAAUCUAAAUUUAGCCACGUGCAGCCAUUUGAAAAUUGAAAACCACUUUGAAUUCUUGGAUUAAUCUUGUUUUGAUAAUCCAUUAGCAACUGUACCCAAAAGUCGAGCCACGCUCCUCGUCAAAAGGAAGAUAACCUAAAAAUCUCAAUGAUAAAAAUACUACCGUAUGCUCAUGAGAUUAAUUAAAGGGAUAGUUUAGUUGCGAUUUUUGGUCCCUAACUGUUAUAAAUUUAAACCUUAUGCAUUUUAGGUUUUUUAUUUAAACCCCUCCCUUACCAUAUAAAUGACAUAAUAAUAAAAGAGAUGCAAUAGUACCAAUAAAAACUCAACCGUUUUUUUGCUUUCAUUUACACUACCAACUCAAUUAUUCAAAAUUGCUUAUGGGUUUUCAAAAAAAAAUAAUAAUAAUUGCUUAUGGGUGCAUUCUAGAUUAUAAAAAAUAAAAUAAAAAAAAAAGAAUUU